UCUCAAAUUACACAUUUCUAAAAUGGAUUUUUCCUAGAAUACACAUUAUUAUAGGCAUUUUGGUACAUUUCCUAGAAUCAUAGAAUUGUAGAACUGGAAGAGACCUGUAAUGCAAGAAUCUCAACUAAAGCAUCCAUGACAGAUGGCCAUCCAACUUCUGCUUAAAAACCUCCAAGGAAGGAGACUCCACUACUUCUUGAAGGAGUCCAUACCACUGUCAACAGCUUUUACUGUCAGAAAGUUCUUCCUGGUGUUUAAUCUCCUAUUUUGUAAUGCAAAGCCAUGGGUCUGGUCCCUACUAUCUAGAGAAGAAAACAAGCUUGCUCCAUCUCCUAUGUGACACCCUUCAGAUACUUCAGAUAUCUCCUCAGUCACCUAUUUUCCAGGCUAAACAUACCCAGCUCCUUCAACCGUUCCUCAUAGGGUUUGGUUUGCAGAUCCUUGAGCAUCUUGGUCACCCUCCUCUGCACAUGUUCCAGCUUCUCAAUGUCCUUCUUAAAUCAUGGAAGCCAGAACUGGACACAGUACUUCAAGUGUGGUCUGACCAAGGCAGAAUAGAGCAAUACUAUUACUUCCCAUGUUUGGAACACUAGACUUCUGUAGAUGCUUCUAAUGCUCACUGGCAGCAUGAAGACACCCACUGGUGGAGUAUUUUCUUCUUUUUAUUUGCAAACAUACAUGCAUGCCUAUUUCCUUACACCUUGUUCCAGUUUGCUUGUGGGCAGCAAAGUCCCUGUUGGCUCCUCUUGCACAUCAACUCCAUUGAGUGGAGUGGAAUUUGGGGAGACUCACAACAACCUCUCUGCUUGAGACUGGUGAUGACUUCCUUGAACAAGGGAGCUCCAUGGGUUGUUCCCAUUGACAGGAAUUGGAGGGGUGUAAAGAGAGAAGGUAAAAGAAAGAAACAUCUUCCCUUCUUGCCCCACCCCUCUCCCUUUGAUUUUUUUUUUUUAUGGUACAUGCUUGUCUGAGAUGAAUUCAACGGAAUGCUUUUAUGUUAGUUGUGGUGGUUACAGUAGGGAAGCCUCUGAUAGGGAUUGGAUGAGCUAUCCUAAUGUCACAGGUUGGAAAAGUAGGCAGAAGUGUAUCCAGCUAUCAUUGCCUGGACAGCUUGAUCCUACAGAAAAGCAAGGCAGGAAGAAUCAACAGAAGAAGCAGAGGUAUCUAGGGAAAGAGAGUGGUCUGCAAAAUUGCAGCAGUCUAGAUUCGAAAAUCAAAAGGAAGAUCUACAGAGCUGCUGUCAGGGCAAUUGGUUGGGGUAGAAUGAAUAGGAUGGGGCCACCAAACAUGGCAGGACUGACCUACCACACAGCAGGAGGGGGCGUCCCUCCAAGACUAUUAAAUGCAGAGUCUGAAAUUAACUAAGCACACAACUGGAAAAUAAUUUCAGAGGAAAGAAGGAAAGCUGAAAGAGAGUGGGGGCAGAAAAGAGACCUGCACAAGCCUAGGGAUCUGUAGAAGGGAUGAAAGAUGAAGCUCACAUAUUGAUUUGAAAUAGCCAGCCAAAUCUUUGACUUAAAGGUCUCUUGUUACCUGCUGUUUUAAUGUUGUCACUCAGCAUUUGGUAAACUUGGUGUCUAGGCCUUUGCCUUAUAAUUCCCCUUUCUUCAAAUAAGAGCAGAAUUGUUGUUUUCUAGAGCAAAAGUUCAGAAUGUAUUACUCUUGGCGUGGUUGCUAUCACUGCAUAGCACAUGAAGUUUCGUCGGACCAGCUGUUUACAUACCACUUUCACAGACAGAAGGCUAAGCUCUUGGGACUCUGUAAAUAUACAAGAAUUACCUAUUGAAUUCAGGAAAUAGUGUACAGGUGCCCUAUUUAUGUCUAUUUAUUUAUGUCUAUUUAUGUCAAAUGUUAGAGAAGCCUGUAUAAAUCCUCUAAACUCAUUGUGCUUUUGUAAUGAAUUACUAGUAUUAUUAUUAUUAAGCAGAUCUUUUGCAUAUAGGUGAACAACACAGCCUUCAAGCUGGACACAGCAUAGUUGCAUAGCCAAGUGCAGCUGUCUCAAGUGAAAGUUGGUGUAACAUAGCAACUGAAGGUAUGUGUGUCAGCUCGCUCUUAUCAAGCAAGAAGCCACUAGGCAGCCUUAGAUAGUAAAGCUUGUAAAUGUCAUUGGAGAAGAUUUAUGUUACAGGAUCUUCAAGCAUAGGGGUGGGGGGUUAGCAUCUCCAAGACACAAAAUAGCUACCUAGCCAAUAUAUUCUCCAGGUCAUCCAAAAGUCAAUGGGCCAGAUCUAGACUAAGUUAGAUGCAACAGGACAACCUAGUUAUGACUUGUGCUUUGAAAU